GGCUUCGUAGUUCAGCUGGUAGAGCGCUUGCCGCGUAGAGGCAUCAUGUUUCCGACGCUGAUUCGAGUCCAGCCGAAGCCC